UAUAAUUUUUUACGAAUAACGGAACUUUAGAAACUGGCGCGACAGGAUGCUCACCCCUCCCCUGGUGCCAGGGCCAGACGCUAGUACAGAGCGACUCGUGGACCGGGACGGACGCACGUCCCACGGGGAGACAUCAUCACUGAACUUCCUUCUGGGCCAGUGGUGCAGCAGCCAUUAGGGAUCCCUAACAUCAUCACCACCGCCGCCGUUCCUAGUGGACCACGCAGGGGCCUUCGGACCUCACGACCCACCUCGUGGCUAACCACCGCGUUAGCCUGGCGCCCUCCCGGACACGUUUCCCCGCAAGAAAACAGCCUUCCCGCUGGGAACCCCGCCGAGUCUCGAACACGAGAACCCGGGCGACGGCAUUGUAAAGGAUGUUUGUACCAAUAAACACGUCACAUUA